GUUGGUGGUAUGGUUAGGUUAGGUUAAGUUGGGUUGGUGGUAUGGUUAGGUUAGGUUAAGUUGGGUUGGUGGUGUGGUUAGGUUAGGUUAAGUUGGGUUGGUGGUAUGGUUAGGUUAGGUUAAGUUAGGUUGGUGGUAUGGUUAGGUUAGGUUAAGUUGGGUUGGUGGUAUGGUUAGGUUAGGUUAAGUUAGGUUGGUGGUAUGGUUAGGUUAGGUUGAUGGUGGUAGUGGUUGUAGUUAAGUUUGGUUAGGUUAAGUUGGUGACUGGUUGUAGUUAAGUUUGGUUAGGUUAAGUUAGGUUAAUGGUGGUAGUGCCUGUAGUUAAGUUUGGUUAGGUUAGGUUAAGUUGGUGACUGGUUGUAGUUAAGUUUGGUUAGGUUAAGUUAGGUUGAUGGUGACUGGUUGUAGUUAAGUUAGGUUAGGUUAAGUUAAGUUGGUGACUGGUUGUAGUUAAGUUUGGUUAGGUUAGGUUGAGAAGAUGUCGCAGUACUGUGGAGGGAGUGGUGGUUGGUUGAGGUGGUUGUGGCUGGUUGUUGUGUGGUUGUGGUUAAGUUUGGUUAGGUUAGGUUGAGAAGAUGUCUAGUACUGUGGAGGGAGUGGUGGUUGGUUGAGGUGGUUGGGGUUGGUUGUUGCAUGGUUGUAGUAAUGGUAUGUGUGGUGGUUAGGUUAAAUUAGGUUGCUGUUGAUGGUGGUUGUAGCAGGGUGGCGUCAAGCCCAACGAACCCCAAAUUAAAACAAUAUUAUAGUUAUAUAUACUUCACGCACGGACCCAAAUAUUAAUGCAAAUGAUUUAAGAGUUACGAAAUUAAAACAAAGAUUCCUAACAAUGUUCUGGAUCAUAGUGAAUUUUUUCCGCCUCCAUCCGUGAAAUUAAAAGACUCAGUGCUGUUUUAACCUUUGUUGUGUUUCGGAAUUUUAAAGUAUUGUCUUCCGGGACUUAUCACCCGCAAAGUCUCUGCUGGCCUUUCUCACUUAAGACCCUUUUUUUAAGCAUGGGGACCUUAGAAGCACAGGGCCCAAUGCAGUUUCAUCGCUCGUAUUGGCCUAGGGUUGGUCCUGGUAGGGGUGGUCAGGUUAGGUCAGCAGUAACACCAGUUGUAUAGUGGGUUAAAUGGUGUGCGGUCACUCUGCUGCCAUACACAGGACACGCACCAACGCUAACAAACACCGCCAAGUAUUGUUGAUUUUGAGUUACAAGUCUUUGGUAGUCACAAACAGAUGUAUUGUUGAUUGACAAGAUCGCUGAUUGUAAUUUAAACAGCCUUGGUGGUGUCUGACAACCAUUAAAUUUGCCAAGUAUUGUUGAUUUUGAGUUACAAGUCUUUGGUAGUCACAAACAGAUGUAUUGUUAAUUGACAAGAUCGCAGAUUGUAAUUUAAACAGUCUUGGUGGUGUCUGACAACCAGGAAAUUUGCCAAGUAUUGUUGAUUUUGAGUUACAAGUCUUUGGUAGUCACAAACAGAUGUAUUGCUAAUUGACAAGAUCGCUGAUUGUAAUUGUUAAACAGUCUUGGUGGUGUCUGACAACCAUUAAAUUUUCAGGCUUUAUAUCAACAAAACUAGCAUUUAUUUUUAAUUUUUAACAACAAAGGAGGCAGCUCAAGGGCACACAAAAAAAGAAAACAAUAAUAAAAAAAGCCUGCUGCUCGCUCCUCCUAAAAAAGAAACAAGAGAGGAGGCCGAAAGCAAGAUCAGAUACGGGACGAGAGAUAUCCCGAUGUUUGGGACGGUACUAAGAAUUCUUGCUAAAAACUGAUCGUGAUUGACAUGGUUGUUGGUGGUGGAUGUUGCCGACACUGACCGCCAUGUCCUGUGUGUGGUUGGCAUGCACCACACACCAAACUGGACACACCAUGGGGCUGCAGGACGCUGGUACACAAUGCUGCCCACCAACGAACCAAAUAUAGGAGUGGUAGGCAUGGUGGUAGUGGGUGUGGUGGUGGUGGUGGUGGUGGUACAGAUGAGACAAAGCAGAUAAGGCAGAUAAUGAGAUAAAGCAAGAGGAAGAACCAGAGGAAAAUGCUUAAACAUGCACACAACUCUAUCAGAAAGAAAUAAAUAAAUAAAAUAAGUAAAUAAAUGAUUAAACUGAUUCCCGAUAUCUCGAACCGAUUCUCCUCACGCACACACGCACACACACUUUAAACGAACACAUGAACACACACA